AAGAUUCAGAUAUCUCAGAGUAAAAGUACAGCUGAGGGGUAAAAGUACUCUGAUUACUUGGUCUACUGUGAGGCUCCUAACCAGGACCAGGUUCUCCUGCUGGUGGUUUUUAGAGCUCCAGCAGCUUUCUGAUAGAACAUCACUGCUUUAAAGUAAUAAUACCUCAUUUAAUCUGGACCAAUCAGACGCUGUAGAACUGUCAGGUUAAAUAUAGUUAAAUCUGGUUAAACUGAACUUGAGGCUGGAACAGAAACGGGAAGUAAAAUACUGGAACAACUGAAGAAUCUGAGAGGCUUUGAUGUAGUUCAGAAGUUAGAACAUCCCAGAACUAUAGAUCUGGGGUCUGUUUCACGAAGCAGGUUCAUUGAAAACUCUGAGUUCUUAACCCUGAAAUGAGGGAAACUCAGAGUUUUCCGUUUCAUGAAGCGAGGUAACUUAACCCUGAGACAGAGGGGUAACUCUAGCCUGUUUCACAAAGAGGGGUAACUUCAACUCUCGGUCAGUUACCGCAGUAACAGACUCUAUGACUCUAACCUGGUCACCAGCAGGUUUAUCUGAGAAAACCUCCAGUUUCUCUCUGUCUCCGCCCUCUUUCAGCCACACGCUGUUUCAUUUCCUCAUUCAUUCAGUCAGUAAGCGAGCGAGUUUUGGCGUAGAACAGCUUUUAUUAACGAUCCAGUGGAUAAAGGAGCAGCAUUACUGCACAGAUCAUUAAAUAUUCGUCGGUAGAUUGUUAUCAGACCGAGCAUAAAUGUUCUCGCAUUUCCGGACAAUUAUCGGUUUGAGCGGCACCGUUUCGUAAUCGUUUCAAGUCCAUAAUCUACAUAAACAACCUAAUCCGUCCUUACAUUUACAUUACCAACCAGUCAUGCUCUCACAUCCAGCAGAUAUUGUGUGUUGCGCUGCGGUUCUUUGCAAAUGAAAGUUUUUAUAUGAUGUCAGAGAUGCAGAGUAAGACAACUGUAUGGAGGACAGUCAGAAAAGUUUUCCUGGCUCUGAAACAACUUUUACUCGUCAUUGUGGACAUAAACCUGUCAGAGCAUCAAGGAGGAUCCACAGGAUUACAGGAUUUCCCAGUGUGAUUGGCUGCAUAGAUGCACACACAUCCCCAUCACAGCUCCCUCACAUCAUGAACAGGAAGUCCAUUCACAGCAUAAAUGUGCAGAUCAUAUGUGAUGCUGCAUACAUCAUUUCUAAUGUGGAGGCCACGUGGUCUGGGUCUGUUCAUGACUCCAGGAUUUAUGGAGAGUCUAACCUGAGCAACAGACUGCAGCGUGGUCAGCAGCAUAAAGAUUUUCACAAUAGAAUUCUCUUGUCUCCCUCCUUUAAUAUGCUCUGAUGUAUCCACUAUACAUUACAGGAGAGUUUGAUGGCCUUCUGCUGGGUGACAGGGGUUACCAUGGCAACCCAGGCUGAUGACCUCAUACCCUGACCCUGAACCAGGCCCCCAACAGAACUUCAACCGGACUCACUGCAGGACCAGAGCCCGGAUGGAGAUGACCAUAGGCCUGCUGAAAGCCCGUUUCCAGAGCCUACGUCUCCUCAGGGUGACCCCUGAGAGGGCCUGUGAUAUUACUGUGGCAUGUGUUGUUCUUCAUAAUAUUACCACUAUUAGAGGAGAGCAACACCCUGCCCUACAAACUGAAGACCCAGAUGAUGAGCCCAUCCACCUGCAGCUAUCCAGGACAGCAGAGCAGUCAGAGACACCGUAUGCAAGAAUCACUUUAGAGUUUAAGUCUCCAUCAUCACCACCACAGCAAAUAAAGACAUGAGACACA